AGUUUGAUCCUGGCUCAGGAUGAACGCUAGCUACAGGCUUAACACAUGCAAGUCGAGGGGCAGCAUGGUCUUAGCUUGCUAAGGCCGAUGGCGACCGGCGCACGGGUGAGUAACGCGUAUCCAACCUGCCUUACACUCUUGGAUAGCCUUCUGAAAGGGAGAUUAAUACAAGAUGUUAUCAUGAGUAAGCAUUUUCACAUGAUUAAAGGUUUACCGGUGUAAGAUGGGGAUGCGUUCCAUUAGAUAGUAGGCGGGGUAACGGCCCACCUAGUCUUCGAUGGAUAGGGGUUCUGAGAGGAAGGUCCCCCACAUUGGAACUGAGACACGGUCCAAACUCCUACGGGAGGCAGCAGUGAGGAAUAUUGGUCAAUGGACGAGAGUCUGAACCAGCCAAGUAGCGUGAAGGAUGAAGGUUCUAUGGAUUGUAAACUUCUUUUAUACGGGAAUAAACGAAUCCACGUGUGGAUUUUUGCAUGUACCGUAUGAAUAAGGAUCGGCUAACUCCGUGCCAGCAGCCGCGGUAAUACGGAGGAUCCGAGCGUUAUCCGGAUUUAUUGGGUUUAAAGGGAGCGUAGAUGGGUUGUUAAGUCAGUUGUGAAAGUUUGCGGCUCAACCGUAAAAUUGCAAUUGAUACUGGCAGUCUUGAGUACAGUUGAGGUAGGCGGAAUUCGUGGUGUAGCGGUGAAAUGCUUAGAUAUCACGAAGAACUCCGAUUGCGAAGGCAGCUUACUAACCUGUAACUGACAUUGAUGCUCGAAAGUGUGGGUAUCAAACAGGAUUAGAUACCCUGGUAGUCCACACGGUAAACGAUGAAUACUCGCUGUAGGCGAUAUACGGUCUGCGGCCAAGCGAAAGCAUUAAGUAUUCCACCUGGGGAGUACGCCGGCAACGGUGAAACUCAAAGGAAUUGACGGGGGCCCGCACAAGCGGAGGAACAUGUGGUUUAAUUCGAUGAUACGCGAGGAACCUUACCCGGGCUUAAAUUGCAACCGAAUAUGGCGGAAACGCCGUAGCUAGCAAUAGCGGUUGUGAAGGUGCUGCAUGGUUGUCGUCAGCUCGUGCCGUGAGGUGUCGGCUUAAGUGCCAUAACGAGCGCAACCCUUGCCGAUAGUUACUAACAGGUUAUGCUGAGGACUCUGUCGGGACUGCCAUCGUAAGAUGUGAGGAAGGUGG
rnacentral:rRNA from 1 species